CGCAAUUUGUAUUCUCAACACCGGACCAUUAUUGUCAACACAGCCAUGGAGAGGGACACUGAGGAUAUAAGGUUUCUUCUUCUUAGCAAGGUGGCAGUCCAUUAUCACUGCAAAUAAAGACAAAUUGAGACUUGAUAAUUUACAAAGAGAGACAUAGAUUGAGAGAGACACAGGAAGAGAGAAAGAGUGGAUUUUGGAGCUGUAAAGCAUUUUGAGGUAAAUGAAUUAUUACUCUUCUUUAAACACAUUUAAG
rnacentral:lncRNA from 1 species